rnacentral:rRNA from 1 species
AUACGUAGGGUGCAAGCGUUAAUCGGAAUUACUGGGCGUAAAGCGUGCGCAGGCGGUUUUUUAAGACAGGGGUGAAAUCCCCGGGCUCAACCUGGGAACUGCCUUUGUGACUGCAAGGCUAGAGUACGGCAGAGGGGGAUGGAAUUCCGCGUGUAGCAGUGAAAUGCGUAGAUAUGCGGAGGAACACCGAUGGCGAAGGCAAUUCCCUGGGCCGGUACUGACGCUCCUGCACGAAAGCGUGGGGAGCAAACGGUAUUAGAUCCCCUUGUAGUCCACGCCCUAAACGAUGUCAACUGGUUGUUGGGUCUUCAUUGACUCAGUAACGAAGCUAACGCGUGAAGUUGACCGCCUGGGGAGUACGGCCGCAAGGUUGAAACUCAAAUGAAUUGACGGGG